UUUAAGUGUAAUCAUAAGUUUUCGUGUCCAACUUUAAUCGUUCAUUUUAUUUAAAUUUUUUUUAUAAUUAGUAUUUUUGUUUUUAUGAAAUGAUAAAACAUGAAUAAUACUUUACUCGUGACUUAUGUUUUUAAAUUUUUUUAAAAAAUUUAAAUUCAGGUACGAAAAAUCAUGUUGGCCCUUAAA
rnacentral:pre_miRNA from 1 species